rnacentral:rRNA from 1 species
UACGUAGGGUGCGAGCGUUGUCCGGAAUUACUGGGCGUAAAGAGUUCGUAGGCGGUUUGUCGCGUCGUUCGUGAAAACUUGGGGCUUAACUCCAAGCGUGCGGGCGAUACGGGCAGACUUGAGUACUACAGGGGAGACUGGAAUUCCUGGUGUAGCGGUGAAAUGCGCAGAUAUCAGGAGGAACACCGGUGGCGAAGGCGGGUCCCUGGACAACACCUGACACUGAGGCACGAAAGCUAGGGGAGCAAACAGG